rnacentral:rRNA from 1 species
UACGGAGGAUGCGAGCCUUAUCCGGAUUUAUUGGGUUUAAAGGGUGCGUAGGCUGUGUAGCAAGUCGGAGGUGAAAUAUCCGGGCUCAACCGGGAGGGUGCCUACGAUACUGCAGUGCUGGAAUACUGUUGCCGCGGGAGGAAUGAGUAGUGUAGCGGUGAAAUGCAUAGAUAUUACUCAGGACACCGAUUGCGAAGGCAUCUCGCGAAGCAGUUAUUGACGCUGAGGCACGAAAGCGUGGGGAUCAAAC